AGGGAUUUGGCGCAGCGGUAGCGCGUUGGGCUCAUAACCCAAAGGUCCGAGGAUCGAAACCUCGAAUCGCUA
rnacentral:tRNA from 1 species